UAAGGAAUAUUGCACAAUGGGCGAAAGCCUGAUGCAGCGACGCCGCGUGGGUGAAGAAGGUUUUCGGAUCGUAAAACCCUUUUCUGUGUGACGAGAACGGACGGUAGCACAGGAAUAAGUCUCGGCUAACUACGUGCCAGCAGCCGCGGUAAAACGUAGGAGACAAACGUUAUCCGGAGUUACUGGGCGUAAAGGGCGUGCAGGCGGCAAUCUAAGUCUGGCGUGAAAUAUCCCGGCUCAACCGGGGAAGUCGUCGGAUACUGGGCAGCUAGAGGACGGUAGAGGCGUGUGGAAUUCCGGGUGUAGUGGUGAAAUGCGUAGAGAUCCGGAGGAACACCAGUGGCGAAGGCGACACGCUGGGCCGUACCUGACGCUAAGACGCGACAGCAUGGGGAGCAAACAGGAUUAGAUACCCCGGUAGUCCCUGAGCGGGCUGGCAAGGCGCAU
rnacentral:rRNA from 1 species